rnacentral:pre_miRNA from 1 species
CCCAAGUGCAAUUUUGUACGGUUUAUAUACAAAGUUUGUCCGUUCGUCUUAUUUAAAAAAAUAUAAUAUUUUUAUUAUUAUUAGAUGAUAAAAUAUGAAUAAUAUUUUAUAUGUAACUAUUUUUUUAUUUUUUUAUAAAUUUUUUAAAUAAGAUAGAUGGUCAAAUAUUGAACACAUAUACCCACAGCUGUACUUAUU